CUAGUGAUCAUCUCACAAGAGCUAAGCCUCAGAAAUCACAAGAGCUGCAUGCAGAACUACCGCGGUUCUCCCCUUCAAUGGGAUUUUGAUCUUCGUCUACAAGCAGUGGGGAGUCACAGAAGGGCUCGAGGGAGGAAGAGACGACAUAAGUAGAUUUCAUCACAAAAGGAAGGUGGUCCCUUCUCCAUUCACCCAAAGGGAAUCUCUAAUCCUUCAGUCCGUUAGGAUUCUCCUAAGCUGCUCCAAGCCAGUCUCUUCUCUGACCCCAAAGAGGAAAGAUGUAGUCCUUCUGCUCCCAGAGACCGUCAGAAAAGAGGUCCAGCAAAUCCCUCUCCGAUCUCUGAGCCAACCACCCUCACUGGCAUCCCAAUCUCAAUCUCAGUCUCAAUGUGCCAGGCACAAAGAUUUGUCUCAGUAAGAGUAGAGUGGUUAUGGACAAGACCACACAGCCUUAUUUCUGCUGGACUUCUUCCCUACCUGCCCAUGAGAAAUGGCUCCCGGGCUCAGCUUCUCACACCGGCCCCCUCCUGUUCCAAAGCCUGGACUCACACCACACAGUCUCAUCUCACAUAGGACUGAUGACAAAC
rnacentral:lncRNA from 1 species